rnacentral:tRNA from 1 species
GGUUUGUUGGUCUAGCGGUAUGACGUUUCCUUUACAACAGCUUUAUGCAAGGUGUUCGUUUCGGAAAAGGUCCUGGGUUCGAGCCCCUGACAGAUCA